rnacentral:misc_RNA from 1 species
UUUUUUUUUAUAAUCGUGAUGUCUGAACCAGCUUGUGCGUACCUCGACUAUUUUCUAGCUAUUACUUUUUCUUCUAUUAACUAUUUGGAAGGGGCUUCCUGGGCUCAUGCUUGUAGAAGCUUUAGAAAAAAAGCUUUGAGAAGAGUGUUUUCUGCCUAUCUUAACAUCCAUUAGAUCAGCAACAAUCCCAGGCUGAGUAAUCUUCAUUUCAUCAACUAUUAUCGCGCCAUCACGACUCAACAUCUUGAUGACCAUGGACAUUUUGGGGCGGAGGCUGGCGUUCUCUUGCACACAGAGGAGGCCAACCUUCAAGAAUCGGAGAGCUUCAUCGUCAUUCAGAAGUUCUCUAUCCAAAACAGGGUCUACUAGCUCUAACAGUUGGUCAGCAUUGUACAUUUCCCAUGCCUUGUUAACAAGGAAAUGCUCUCCUCGAG